UGGGGAAUUUUGGACAAUGGGCGCAAGCCUGAUCCAGCAAUGCCGCGUGCAGGAUGAAGGCCUUCGGGUUGUAAACUGCUUUUGUCCGGAGCGAAAAGGUCUGCCCUAAUACGGUGGGCUCAUGACGGUACCGUAAGAAUAAGCACCGGCUAACUACGUGCCAGCAGCCGCGGUAAUACGUAGGGUGCGAGCGCUAAUCGGAAUUACUGGGCGUAAAGCGUGCGCAGGCGGUUAUAUAAGACAGAUGUGAAAUCCCCGGGCUCAACCUGGGACCUGCAUUAGUGACUGUAUAGCUAGAGUACGGUAGAGGGGAAUGGAAUUCCACGUGUAGCAGUGAAAUGCGUAGAUAUGGGGAGGAACACCAAUGGCGAAGGCAAUCCCCUGGACCUGUACUGACGCUCAUGCACGAAAGCGUGGGGAGCAAACA
rnacentral:rRNA from 1 species